CGUGGGGGCACGGAGGGUGGGGGAUGUAGUUCCGGUUGGGAAGGGUGGGGCCGAGGACUGUGAAGGAAGCAGGGCGCCGGCCUCUGUCUGCUGAGCUGGCCCGCAGUGGCCUUUGUUUUGUCUUUGCUGGGCAGUGCCCUCUCACGUAGUCUCCUUUGGGCUGAACUGAUGACUUUGCCUCUAGAAUACCGGGGUGGGGGUGGAGGUGGACACAUACUGACGCCCGCUGAGACCGAGCGCACCUGUAGGGCUUGUGUCUUUGAUCACAAAACUGUCAGAUGUGGCAGUUAAUGACAUCCCUCCUCUCACCCCUCGUUGCUUUCCCUAUUGUUUUUGUCGCUGUUUUGCACCAGAAAACUGACCAAUAUUAAGUUCAACAGGAACAUGAAAGGGGAUAUGUGACCGAAGAUGACCUGCUGGCCAGGAGAGGGAGGGGAAGGGGAGGCAGCGCUGUUGGUAAGAAGCCUGCCCGUGCUUUUGUUGCGUGGGUCUUGAGGGCCUGAGUGGAGGAUCCUGCUUCUUGUUAGACCAGAAUACAGCAGAAGCUGUGUGACUCCUUGGAUAGGUCAUAAAGGGACUGGUUACUGGAUUCCACCUCAUUCUCUUGGAUUAUUGCCCUGGGAGAAGCCAGUUGCCAUGCCACUACACUCAAACAGCCCUAUGAAGUGGUCUAUGUGUAGAGGAACAUGAGUCUCCACCAACAGACAGCUUCAACUUGCCAGCCAUGUAAAACAAGAAAAAGAAUAAUAUAUCCACCUACCCUUCAGCCACUCAUAGUUGGAAAUGAAAGCCUUUACAUUUGCCUAAGCCAGGCCAUACCUACUGCUGUUGCUGAACUGGGCUCCUCAUUUUAACCAAUUACUCAAGGAUGUCAGGGGGAGAAGAGAGUGGAUGAAGACUGAGCCGAUCACCAGUGGCCAAUGAUUUAAUCAAUUUUGCUGUUGAGACUGUUUACUUGGCAGAAUAUGCCUAUGUGACCAGCGAAAUAUAUUCUGCAGCCAACACUCCAUUCUGGGCUUUCUGCUUCCAUGGUACUCUGUGUCUACAUCAGUGGCCCCUGAUCUGAAAGAGAAACUCCAUGCAGCCUCAGCCUUUAUGUUGAGCACUCAAAGGAGCCUGCCCCAGUCUCUGGGGACCCCUUGCUGUGAGGCAAUCUUUACUGUGAUGUAUAUUCUUACUCUAAAGACAUUGAUACAUCCUUUUCUUUUAAUAAACUCUUGAUUCGUAAGCACUGUUGUUUUGAGUCUUCUUUAGCAAAAAAAAUUCUUACUACCAUUAGUGCACGUAUAGAGAUUAGCUAUAGGUUAGGCUAUCAUCUGGGGCUCUGUUUAAAUGGUAAAGGAGGAGCUGGUGCUGUGGCAUAGUGGGUUAAGCCUCCACUUGCAUUGCUGGCAUCCCACAUGGGCACUGGUUUGAGUCCCGGACGCUCCCCUUCCAAUCCAGCUCUCUGCUAUGGCCUGGGAAAACAGUGGAAGAUGGCCCAAAUACUUGGGCCCCUGCACCCACGUGGGAGACCCAGAAACUCCUGGCUCCUGGUUUCGGGUCAGCUCAGAUCUGGCUGUUUCUACUUUGUGUAGGGAGCAAACCAGUGGAUGGAAACUGUUGCAGCCAUCUGGGGAGUGAACCAGCAGAUGGAAGACCUCUUUCUCUGCCUCUGCUUCUCUGUAACUCUGGCUGCCAAAUAAAUAAAUAAGUCUUUAAAAAAAAAGUAAGAAAGGGAAGUAAAGUAUGGCAAAAGGAUGCAAUAUGGCAUAAUUUAGGAGAAAAAUGGGAGGAAAAUAGUAAGCAGGAUAUUUCAACUCCAGGACCCGACUACUUACUGGGCGCAGCGGGAGUGAGUAGGGGGGUGGUAUCCAAAACUGGCUGCUCUAAUUCUAGUUACAAACAUUUGUGACACACAGUGAUUUAUUUGAAAUUAAGAUAGUUAGUUAAAUUUGCAGUUGCUAUGCUAUCAGGGUGUGGUUGCCUAAGAGCAUGGGCACAUCCCAACAAAUGGUGUUAUAAUAUUUAAAUAUAUUGUGUCACAUCUCCCCUUACUCCAAGCUAAAGGCAUCGUGGUUCAUAUAUAAAAUGAUACUGUAAGAAAAUUUAAGGGAGGUGUUCAUGGGUAAGUCAAUUUGUUUUGUGAAGUAUUUUGAAGCAUCCAACAUGAAUUGAAAUGGGAAGAAGUAGCAAACAGAAACCUCCCAUGCAAGAUUUUCAGUCUUUGAGGGUAAGCUAACUAGAGCCAGGGCAAAAGUUCGCAGAGCAUAUGAUCAGCUGGAUACAGCAGAUAAGAAUAGGAAAGACAGGAUAUUUGGCAGUAUUUCAACAGCACAGCAUAAAAAUCAAAGAAAUAUUAUCCCAAGAUUAUAGAAACCAAAGUAUUUUUAUUUGAACUUGUGGCAAAAUCUAGGACAAAAGUAUCUGGGCAGAAUGAUCUGUAUGGGUGGAGGCCUGCUUUCCCUACCAGAAGACUGAUCCUACGUAAAAAUAUAAUUUAAGACCAGAUAUCAGUUCCAACAAUUAAAUCACUCAACUACUGAGUAACAUAGGGCCAAAGACACACAUUCUGGUUAUUUAGUGAUUGAAUCAAUAUGACAUAAACAGAAUGCAUAAUCUUUGGCUUUGAUAAGUAGUUCUCCACCCAAAUACCAUAAAUUACAUUAAGCAACAACUGCCAUUAAAUUAUGAAUGACUGUCCAGCACUUACUUGCAAGCAAAGAAGACCAUCAGGGACAGGCUAAGGUGAAAUGUGAUAGUCAUUAGCCAGUAGUAGUUGAGGCUUUUUGGUGUGCUAAGCCUACAUCGUGCAUUAGGUGUAGUAUGUAAUUUUUCUAAAAAUUCUGUAUAUAAGAUUAUCGUUACCUUUUUGCAGAUGAGGAAAUUGAGGAACAUUAAGGUUACCCAAGCUUUCUGAUCUGAGCCAGAGCUUUCAAUCACUGUCCUCUAAAACUCUAGACUUUCUAGGCCAAUGUUUGAUGAUGUGUGCAGGGUGGCUAGUGUUGGGAAUGCAGAAAGAAUUUCUGAAAAGUAGAAAAGCAGACCAUGAAUCACCAAAAUAGAUGACUUCAAAUGAAGAAUUAAAAAUAAACAAUAUCUCUUUUAAGUUAUGCAUAAUUUAUAUGAAUCAUAGCAUCCAUUUUUUAAAAAAAAUAUUUAUUUGAAAGAGUUACAGAGAGAGGGAAAGAGAGAGAGAGAGACCUUCCAUCUGCUCUUUCACUCCCCAGAUGGUCACAACGUCCAGGCUGGGCCAGGCCAAAGCCAGGAGCCAGCAGCUUCUUCGAGGUCUUCCACAGGGGUGGCAGGAGCCAUCUUUUGCUGCUCUUCCCAGGCCAUUAGCAGGGAGCUGCAUCAGAGGUGGAGCAACUGGGACAUGAACCAGUGCCCACAUGGGAUGCCAGUGUCACAGGUGGUGGCUUUUCCUGCUACACUACAACACUGGCCCCCAAAGCAUCAAUUAAAUUUCCACUCUUAUACCAUAUUUUCCUCCUCAUCAUAAGCUUAGCACAGUGCUAACUCAGUGCUAGAAUCUUUUUUUUUUUUAAGAUUUAUUUAUUUAUUUGAAAGUCAGAGUUACACACAGAGAGAAGAAGAGGCAGAGAGAGAGAGAGAUAUCUUCCAACCUACUGGUUCACUCCCCAGUUGGCUGCAAUGGCCACAGCAGCACCAAUCUGCAGCCAGGAGCCAGGAGCUUCUUCUGGUUCUCCCACAUGGGUGCAGGGGCCCAAGUACUUGGGUCAUCUUCUGCUGCUUUCUCAGGCCGUAGCAGAGAGCUGGAUCAGAAGUGGAGCAGCUGGGACUCGAACCAAUGCCUGUAUAAGAUGCUGGCAUUGCAGGCGGUGGCUUUACCCGCUACACCACAGUGUUGGCCCCAGAUGCUAGAAUCUUAAUCAAAGAAUCAAUUCAACAAAGUCUUACCUUAUGCUUCCUGGGUGCUGGGUAUUUUAAUACCCUUCCAUAAAGCAAGACGGUCCCCCUACACAAAUUUUGAGAAGAUGUUGCAUUGCAUGAUUAAAAUUGUGCAAGAAUUUAUGUUUAAACAGGAACUAAGCUGCCUAUUAUGAAAGUCAGAGUGACAGAUUCUUUGCCUUUUUUUUUUAUAUUCAAAACAUUAGGGGACAGGGCUGUAGCGUAGCAGGUAAAGCCACCACUUGCAGUGCCAGUAUCCCAUAGCGACACCAGUUUGAGUCCCGACUGCUCCACUUCUGAUCCAGCUCUUUGCUAUGGUAUGGGAAAGCAAUAGAAGAUGGCCCAAGUUCUUGGACCCCUGUACCCACGUGGGAGACCCGGAAGAAGCUCCUGGCUCCUGGCUUCUGACUGACACAGCUUCAGCCAUUGCGGCCACUGAUGAGUGGAUGAGUGAACCAGGAGAUGGAAGACCUCUCUCUUUCUCUCUCUCUCUCUUUUUCUCUCUCUCCCUCUGCCUCU